AUUGAACGCUGGCGGCAGGCUUAACACAUGCAAGUCGAGCGCGCGGCGGACGGGUGAGCAAUGUCUGGGAACCUGCCUGAUGGCGGGGGCUAACUACUGGAAACGGUAGCUAAUACCGCAUACCAUCAGAUGUGCCCAGAUGGGAUUAGCUAGUCGGUGGGGUAAUGGCUCACCUAGGCGACGAUCCCUAGCUGGUCUGAGAGGAGGACCAGACACACUGGAACUGAGACACGGUCCAGACGCCUACGGGAGGCAGCAGUGGGGAAUAUUGCACAAUGGGCGCAAGCCUGAUGCAGCCAUGCCGCGUGUGUGAAGAAGGCCUUCGGGUUGUAAAGCACUUUCAGCGAGGAGGCGUUACUCGCAGAAGAAGCACCGGCUAACUCCGUGCCAGCAGCCGCGGUAAUUC
rnacentral:rRNA from 1 species